rnacentral:rRNA from 1 species
UGGGGAAUUUUGGACAAUGGGCGCAAGCCUGAUCCAGCCAUGCCGCGUGCGGGAAGAAGGCCUUCGGGUUGUAAACCGCUUUUGACAGGGAAGAAAUCCUUUGAGCUAAUACCUCGGGGGGAUGACGGUAUCUGAAGAAUAAGCACCGGCUAACUACGUGCCAGCAGCCGCGGUAAUACGUAGGGUGCAAGCGUUAAUCGGAAUUACUGGGCGUAAAGCGUGCGCAGGCGGUUAUGCAAGACAGGUGUGAAAUCCCCGGGCUCAACCUGGGAACUGCAUUUGUGACUGCAUAGCUGGAGUGCGGCAGAGGGGGGUGGAAUUCCGCGUGUAGCAGUGAAAUGCGUAGAUAUGCGGAGGAACACCGAUGGCGAAGGCAAUCCCCUGGGCCUGCACUGACGCUCAUGCACGAAAGCGUGGGGAGCAAACA